CAUGGCAGACGGGUGAGUAACGCGUAGGGAAUCUACCUUUUUGUGGGGAAUAACGCUCCGAAAGGAGUGGUAAUACCGCAUGAGACCGUCGACUGGGAUGUCGGUGGUGAAACCUGGGGACCGCAAGGCCUGGGGCAAAAAGAGGAUCCUGCGUCUGAUUAGCUAGUUGGCGGGGUAAUGGCCCACCAAGGCGACGAUCAGUAGCCGGCCUGAGAGGGUGAUCGGCCACACUGGAACUGAGACACGGUCCAGACUCCUACGGGAGGCAGCAGUGGGGAAUUUUGCGCAAUGGACGAGAGUCUGACGCAGCAACGCCGCGUGGGUGAUGAAGGUCUUCGGACUGUAAAACCCUGUCGUCAGGGACGAAGGCAUGGGAGUUAAUAGCUCUUAUGCUUGACGGUACCUGGAGAGGAAGCCCCGGCUAACUCUGUGCCAGCAGCCGCGGUAAUACAGAGGGGGCAAGCGUUAUUCGGAAUUAUUGGGCGUAAAGGGCGCGUAGGCGGUUUUUUAAGUCAGAUGUGUAAUCCCCGAGCUCAACUUGGGAACUGCAUCUGAGACUGGAAGGCUAGAGUACUGGAGAGGGUGGUGGAAUUCCUCGUGUAGCGGUGAAAUGCGUAGAGAUGAGGAGGAACACCAGUGGCGAAGGCGGCCACCUGGACAGUAACUGACGCUGAGGCGCGAAAGUGUGGGUAGCAAACAGGAUUAGAUACCCUGGUAGUCCACGCUGUAAACGAUGAACACUUGGUGUGGAGGGAGUUGACCCCCUUCCGUGCCGGAGCUAACGCGUUAAGUGUUCCGCCUGGGGAGUACGGUCGCAAGGCUGGAACUCAAAGGAAUUGACGGGGGCCCGCACAAGCGGUGGAGCAUUGGGUUUAAUUCGACGCAACGCGAAGAACCUUACCUGGGCUUGAACUGUGGUGGACCGGUGCAGAGAUGUGCCUUUUCGCAAGAACUGCUACAGAGGUGCUGCAUGGCUGUCGUCAGCUCGUGUCGUGAGAUGUUGGAUUAAGUCCCGCAACGAGCGCAACCCUUACCCGUAGUUGCCA
rnacentral:rRNA from 1 species